rnacentral:misc_RNA from 1 species
GAUCAACCAGGUAGCAUUCCUCACGGACAUCGGGUCGCAAGGCGCAGAACGCCAGUGCGACGCCAAACGUCGUUCGGUCAGAGCGCGUUCAGCGCUAGUUUUGGGCAGACGGGGUCGGAGACCCUUUGCCCCCCGCGUGUUCCGUAUUCCCGAGGUCGGGCGAGCGAUCGUGUGCCGCGACAACAGCAACAGUAAGACAUGCAAAUGCCACGGAACGCAAUCGUCGCCUAACGGUUCACCCGGAGAAGCACCGUUUAGAACGGGCAGCUCACGGGCGAACGAUACAAAUUUCGACAAACGAAUUCCAUCAUCGUAGGUAUGCAACACAGGAAACCGCACGCGACGGACGAGGCUAACAUCGCUCUCGCACCAACGAUUGAAGAGGAACGCAUGGGAGGACGUCGCUGCCCGAGCAGGGAUCCA